UACGUAGGCAGCAAGCGUUGUUCGGAAUUAUUGGGCGUAAAGAGUGUGUAGGCGGCGCUCUAAGUUCGGUGUGAAAUCUCCCGGCUUAACUGGGAGGGUGCGCCGGAAACUGGAGUGCUCGAGCGUGGGAGAGGAAAGCGGAAUUCCUGGUGUAGCGGUGAAAUGCGUAGAUAUCAGGAGGAACACCGGUGGCGAAGGCGGGUCUCUGGGCCGAUACUGACGCUGAGGAGCGAAAGCGUGGGGAGCGAACAGG
rnacentral:rRNA from 1 species